rnacentral:rRNA from 1 species
CGCGUAGGCGGCCGUUUAAGUCAGAUGUGAAAGCCCGGGGCUCAACCCCGGAAGUGCAUUUGAUACUAUUCGGCUUGAGUAUGGGAGAGGGAAGUGGAAUUCCUGGUGUAGAGGUGAAAUUCGUAGAUAUCAGGAGGAACACCGGUGGCGAAGGCGACUUCCUGGACCAAUACUGACGCUGAGGCGCGAAGGCGUGGGGAGCAAACA